GGUGUAGGUGUAGUUGUAGGUGUAGUUGUAGGUGUAGACGUAGGUUUAGGUGUAGUUGCAGGAGUGGGUGUAGUUUUAGGUGUAGGUGUAGUUGUAGGUGUAGGUGUAGUUGUAGGUGUAGUUGUAGGAGUAGGCGUAGUUGUAGGUGUAGUUGUAGGCGUAGUUGUAGUUGUAGGUGUAGUUGUAGUUGUAGGUGUAGGUGUAGUUUUAGGCAUAGCUGUAGUUGUAGGUGUAGUUUUAGGUGUAGGUGUAGGUGUAGUUGUAGUUGUAGGUGUAGGUGUAGGAGUAGGUGUAGAUGUAGGAGUAGGUGUAGAUGUAGGAGUAGGUGUAGAUGUAGGAGUAGUUGUAGGCGUAGUUAUAGUUGUAGGUGUAGUUGUAGGUGUAGUUGUAGGUGUUGUUGUAGGACCAAAGAUGCAGAAGAAAACCCUAUACUUUAAUGGUUGUCGUAGGCCACUUCAGCACAACAGUUUGAUUUGAUUUGGGUGUGAACUAACUAACCGUGAAGUUGCUAUUUGAAGAAGGAAAGAAACAUGCCUUCAGACCUCUCUUGUUACCAUGGGGUCAAGGCUCCAGCAACUUGAGUGUUGAACCGUUGUCUGCAAGAGGGUGUGUGUGAGCAUGUGUGUGUGUGCGUUUGUGUGUGUGUGUGUGUGUGUGUGCGGCUCACUG
rnacentral:lncRNA from 1 species